GGGGGGGGGGGUUGGCGCUCCCUGCUAGGGCCAGUCAGCCUGCCCAGGAGUCUUCGUCCAGCACCCAGUCUGGGUCCUCCCACUAGCACCCAGGCCGGGCUGAGGAGGCAGAUCUCAGCUGGUGGUGCCCUUGGAGCCAGGUCCCCAGACCCUGUCCAGCUGUCAUCUCUGAGGCAGCUAGGCGCCCAGGACCCAACUGGUUUUCAGUCUCCUCAGGCCCUCCAAACAGCAGGGGGUCAGGUCCCUCGCACGGCAGCCAGGCAAACUGCUGCUGCCCUUAGGUCCCAGUGUGGGGACUGGGGAGACCUUCACUGCCUCUCGGCCUGGGCCCGGCCAGCGGGCAGCAUUGGCAAGGGCUGUGGAGCCCAGCAGGACAGAGCCCCUAGCCUGUCCCCCGACCCCAUCCACUGGCCUGAGGCCAGGUGAGCAGGAGGGCUCCGGGGUGAAGGCUGGGGUCCGCCUCUUACCUCCCUCUCUGCCUGACUACCACCACUCCCCUGACCGCUGGCCUAACAGGCCUUUAAUCACCACCCUGGCAGUUUCUCAGCAGCGGCCGCCUGGUGACUGCUGCCUGGUAACGGUAGCUGUACUGGCCGCUGCACCCAGGCCUGUCCCCACCACACACUUGUCCUUUCUCUGUCACGCACUCAUCCUUGGAGACGUCAGCCCCACUUGCUGGCACCGCGACCCUCCUGUCUGUAUCUUCCACCGGACAGUCUGUUUUGUCCUUCGGCUUCUGGUGCUUGAACUUCUUGCCUCCCGUUGUAAACACUGCUGCUCUUUUCCCCAGCAGCUGUUUCUUCUAUGCCGAAUACAAUAAAUACGAAUACAUAAAAUGUCAGCUGUCCUGGUCUCCAGGUGCAAUGGGCUCACAGAAAGUAGGCCCAUCCCCAGGGGAUGAAUCUUGACUGGAGGAAAGCAGGCAUGGCCCUCUCUUUCCUCUGCUGGAAUGGUGGGGGUGGAGAGAACACAUGACCCAGUUCUGCCCAAUAGAGCUGAGAGGAGCCCUGUUUCGGAGGCAGGUGGUGUUUGGGAAAGUUUCAUCUCUUUAAAGGAAGGCAGGUGGUGGAAAUCAAUCAUCACUGUUUUCCUUCGACCUGGUAGGGGGAAUGUGAUGGGAGGAGAUGUAGCAGUCAAAGUGAGGCCGUGAGGAAAGAGCUAAGGAGAAUCCCAGAGGAGGUGGUUCAAAGACCUGCCCUUGCUGACCAAAUAAACUAAUCAACCCCAUAGCCUCCGGACUCUGGACUCUUAUUGGCAAGAUCAUCACCACCUGCACUGAAGCCAUGUUGGGCCAGAAGUUCUGUUAUGGGAUCCAUUUCAUUCAUUAAUUCAGAAUAAUUAAGUACCUUAUUAAAUAUUUCUUGUGCUGAUUCCACUUUCUAAUCAGCAAAAUCUGACGUGCACAGAGAUGAUGAGGGGCAGUGGAGAGGAUGAAGGCGCAAGGAAGAGGUCCCGGAGUGGACAGACUGUAGACAGAGCCUGAGGACACGUGGACCUGGGGCACCACAACCGCCCUGCAGUCCACCCCAGUGGGCUUGUCCACAGCUUGCUAGCAGGGUUUCUGUCUGUCCGCGGCGCCCCCGUUCCUGCCUGAUGCUGAUUCCCAGGAAAACAGGAAUGCAAGAACGAGACUGCCUCCCUCGGAGGAAACCCCAGGUCUGGGGGCGAGGUCCUAACGCCUGCUGCCUGCAGGACCCGAAGUUCCGCAUGCCG
ensembl:lncRNA